rnacentral:tRNA from 1 species
GGGUAUAUAGCUCAGUGGUAGACCAUGUGCUUAGCAUGCACAAAGUCCUGGGUUCAAUCCCUAGUACCUUCA